rnacentral:rRNA from 1 species
AUUGAACGCUGGCGGCAGGCCUAACACAUGCAAGUCGAACGAGUGGCGGACGGGUGAGUAAUGUCUGGGAAACUGCCCGAUGGAGGGGGAUAACUACUGGAAACGGUAGCUAAUACCGCAUACCAUCGGAUGUGCCCAGAUGGGAUUAGCUAGUAGGUGGGGUAACGGCUCACCUAGGCGACGAUCCCUAGCUGGUCGGAGAGGAUGACCGGCAACACUGGAACUGAGACACGGUCCAGACGCCGACGGGAGGAAGCAGUGGGGACUUUUGGACAAUGGGGGAAACCCUGCGCCAGCCAUCCCGCGUGUGGGAUGAAGGCCUUCGGUUGGUAAAGCCCUUUUGGCGGGAAGGCGGUACCUGCAGAAUAAGCACCGGCUAACUACGUGCCAGCAGCCGCGGUAAUUC